rnacentral:rRNA from 1 species
UAGACCGAUAGCGAACAAGUAGAGUGAUCGAAAGAUGAAAAGCACUUUGAAAAGAGGGUUAAAUAGCACGUGAAAUUGUUGAAAGGGAAGCGCUUGUGACCAGACUUGCGCCGGGCGGAUCAUCCGGUGUUCUCACCGGUGCACUCCGCCCGGCUCAGGCCAGCAUCGGUUCUCGCGGGGGGAUAAAGGUCCUGGGAACGUAGCUCCUCCGGGAGUGUUAUAGCCCGGGGCGUAAUGCCCUCGCGGGGACCGAGGUUCGCGCAUCUGCAAGGAUGCUGGCGUAAUGGUCAUCAGCGACCCGUCUUGAAACACGGACCAAGACGCUGA